rnacentral:rRNA from 1 species
UGCAGUCGAGAAUCUUUCGCAAUGGACGGAAGUCUGACGAAGCGACGCCGCGUGUGUGAUGAAGGCUCUAGGGUUGUAAAGCACUUUCGCUUGGGAAUAAGAGAAGGCGGUUAAUACCCGCUGGAUUUGAGCGUACCAGGUAAAGAAGCACCGGCUAACUCCGUGCCAGCAGCUGCGGUAAUACGGAGGGUGCUAGCGUUAAUCGGAUUUAUUGGGCGUAAAGGGCGUGUAGGCGGAAAGGUAAGUUAGUUGUCAAAGAUCGGGGCUCAACCCCGAGUCGGCAUCUAAUACUAUUUUUCUAGAGGGUAGAUGGAGAAAAGGGAAUUUCACGUGUAGCGGUGAAAUGCGUAGAUAUGUGGAAGAACACCAGUGGCGAAGGCGCUUUUCUAAUUUAUACCUGACGCUAAGGCGCGAAAGCAAGGGGAGCAAACAGGAUUAGAUACCCUGGUAGUCCUUGCCGUAAACGAUGCAUACUUGAUGUGGAUGGUCUCAACCCCAUCCGUGUCGGAGCUAACGCGUUAAGUAUGCCGCCUGAGGAGUACACUCGCAAGGGUGAAACUCAAAAGAAUUGACGGGGGCCCGCACAAGCAGUGGAGCAUGUGGUUUAAUUCGAUGCAACGCGAAGGACCUUACCUGGGUUUGACAUGUAUAUGACCGCGGCAGAAAUGUCGUUUUCCGCAAGGACAUAUACACAGGUGCUGCAUGGCUGUCGUCAGCUCGUGCCGUGAGGUGUUGGGUUAAGUCCCGCAACGAGCGCAACCCUUAUCGUUAGUUGCCAGCACUUAGGGUGGGAACUCUAACGAGACUGCCUGGGUUAACCAGGAGGAAGGCGAGGAUGACGUCAAGUCAGCAUGGCCCUUAUGCCCAGGGCGACACACGUGCUACAAUGGCCAGUACAGAAGGUAGCAAGAUCGUGAGAUGGAGCAAAUCCUCAAAGCUGGCCCCAGUUCGGAUUGUAGUCUGCAACUCGACUACAUGAAGUCGGAAUUGCUAGUAAUGGCGUGUCAGCCAUAACGCCGUGAAUACGUUCCCGGGCCUUGUACACACCGCCCGUCACAUCAUGGGAGUUGGUUUUACCUUAAGUCGUUGACUCAACCCGCAAGGGAGAGAGGCGCCCAAGGUGAGGCUGAUGACUAGGAUGAAGUCGUAACAAGGUAGCCCUACCGGAAGGUGGGGCUGGAUCACCU